AACGAACGCUGGCGGCGUGGAUAAGACAUGCAAGUCGAACGGGACAAGUAGCAAUAUUUGUCUAGUGGCGAACGGGUGCGUAACACGUGGGCAACAUGCCUGGAAGAGCGGGAUAGCCCGGGGAAACUCGGAUUAAUACCGCAUGUGACAACGGGGCGGAUUCGCCCGGUUUUCAAAGGUGGGGACCGCAAGGCCUGCCGCUUCCAGAUUGGCCCGCGUCCUAUCAGCUAGUUGGCGGGGUAACGGCCCACCAAGGCGACGACGGGUAGCUGGUCUGAGAGGACGACCAGCCACACUGGAACUGAGACACGGUCCAGACACCUACGGGUGGCAGCAGUCGAGAAUCUUUCACAAUGGGGGAAACCCUGAUGGAGCGACGCCGCGUGGAGGAUGACGGUCUUCGGAUUGUAAACUCCUGUCAUGAAAGAACAAGCGGAGCGGGUGAACAGCCCGCCGAGUUGAUAGUAUUUCAAGAGGAAGGGACGGCUAACUUCGUGCCAGCAGCCGCAGGUAACAC
rnacentral:rRNA from 1 species